AAGUCGUAACAAGGUCUCCGUAGGUGAACCUGCGGAGGGAUCAUUAACGAAAUCGAAACACGGUGCGACUGCAAGUAUAGCGUAGAGGGAGAUUCUCAGCAAUUCAACCUUAAACUUUACUGUCGUCGUUACUGAAAUUUAUUCACGAUAAACACAAUUGACAAAAUAGACAAUGAGAAACACUUUUAACAAUGGAUCUCUUGGCUCUU
rnacentral:misc_RNA from 1 species